GUCAUAGGUAUAGAAGUUCCAAUUCUAUAUUGAAGUACAUUUCAGUUAAAGAACGCCAAAAGUUUAGAAAGGUGAACAUGCCACAACUUCAAGCAGCGAAAGUGAUUCAGAAAUACCACAUGGAAAGCCUGCCAAAAGCAGUGUUAACACCGUAACUGUAGCAUGUAAAGGUGUAAAGACAAAGCAGAAGAAAAAUGGAUCGGCCCGUCUACCAACUAGGCGCCCGGAUCCUAAUGUGUACAACAGGAAUGCAAUACUUGCCCGUGAAAACCGUCGUAAAAAAAAAGCCUACUUGGAGGCCGUCGAGAAGGAGCUUGAUGAAACACGCAAUGCCAACAGAUCACUCUUGAGGGCACUCAAAAAGCAGUUAAGGGCCAAUGUACGGCUGGAGAAGGAAAGAAAUUAUCUCAAAAAAAUUUUAGAUACAAUUAGCAAUGCAGCUAACUUCGGUGGCGCGUGGUGUAAAAACCCACAGAAUUCGGAGACCGAAUGUGAACCGCAUCAGUCACAUACAAAGCAACAUUCUGCGACUUCGUGGAGUAAUUUUCUUGAUGAUUUAUUUGCAGACAAUACGAUGAUGCCUACAUUAUACAAUAAUUGGAAUGAACUUCCCGACCAAAAUAGUAUAGUUCUUACAAACAUUUCAAACACACCUGUGGAAAUAGACAAUCAAAUUUCCAUUUUAGGUGAAGAGCAUAAUUACUUUAAGCAUGGCACAACUUCCAACUAUAGUGGAAAAGAUGGCACUUGUUUUCAUAUUGCUGCCGGGACGAUUUCGCUAGAUUUUUGCCCAAGUUGUCAGUGCAGUUCUAAUCGUGUUCCCCCUAUGGAGCUGCUGCAAGAUAGCUUUGACCACUCAACCAAUUAUUGUCAGUAGUUGUUUCUUAUUUGAAAAUCGAUUAUAUUUUAUUAUUUAAGCUUUAUUCUGUAAAGCACUAUAAUUGUUCCUUAAUUAAUGUGAAUUGUUAAUAUUCAAUAAAUAUGUAUAAGUUAAUAAUGAUAUAUUUAUAUACAUA